CUACGGGUUGCUGCAGUGGGGAAUCUUAGACAAUGGGCGCAAGCCUGAUCUAGCCAUGCCGCGUGAGUGAUGAAGGCCUUAGGGUCGUAAAGCUCUUUCGCUAGGGAAGAUAAUGACGGUACCCAGUAAAGAAACCCCGGCUAACUCCGUGCCAGCAGCCGCGGUAAUACGGAGGGGGUUAGCGUUGUUCGGAAUUACUGGGCGUAAAGCGCGCGUAGGCGGACUGUUAAGUCGGGGGUGAAAUCCCGGGGCUCAACCCCGGAACGGCCUUCGAUACUGGCAGUCUAGAGUUCGAGAGAGGUGAGUGGAAUUCCGAGUGUAGAGGUGAAAUUCGUAGAUAUUCAGAGGAACACCAGUGGCGAAGGCGGCUCACUGGCUCGAUACUGACGCUGAGGUGCGAAAGUGUGGGGAGCAAACAGGAUUAGAUACCCGAGUAGUC
rnacentral:rRNA from 1 species